ensembl:misc_RNA 7SK 7SK RNA
UGUGAGGGCGAUCUGGCUGCGACAUCUGUCACCCCAUUGAUCGCCAGGGUUGAUUCAGCUGAUCUGGCUGGCUAGGCGGGUGUCCCCUUCCUCCCUCACCGCUCCAUGUGCGUCCCUCCGGAAGCUGCGAGCUCGGUCGAAGAGGAUGGCCUUCCCCAAAUAGAGAUGGACCGGUUUUCGGUCUAGGGUAUACGAGUAGCUGUGCUCCCCUGCUAGAACCUCCAAACAAGCUCUCAAGGAUACAGAGUUCUGGUGGUGGGAAAUUGUUCCCCUCUUAUCUUAUUGUCUUGUCAGUGUUUCCAUUUUAUAA